rnacentral:rRNA from 1 species
CACGUAGGGCGCAAGCGUUGUCCGGAAUUAUUGGGCGUAAAGAGCUCGUAGGUGGUCUGUUGCGUCCGCUGUGAAAGUUCGGGGCUCAACCCUGAAUCGGCCGUCGAUACUCCUGGGCUCGAGCACUGUAGAGGCAGAUGGAAUUCCGGGUGUAGCGGUGGAAUGCGUAGAGAUCCGGAAGAACACCGGUGGCGAAGGCGGUCUGCUGGGCAGUUGCUGACACUGAGGCGCGACAGCGUGGGGAGCAAACAGG